rnacentral:rRNA from 1 species
GCUUGUCUCAAAGAUUAAGCCAUGCAAGUCUAAGUACAAACAUUUGUAUUGUGAAACUGCGAACGGCUCAUUAAAUCAGUUAUAAUUUACUUGAUAGUUCCUUACUACUUGGAUAACCGUGGUAAUUCUAGUGCUAAUACAUGCGCAAAGUCUCGACUUCUGGAAGAGAUGUAUUUAUUAGAUAAAAAACCAAUCGCUUUUGGGCGUUUUCAGGUGAAUCAUGAUAACUUUUCGAAUCGUAUGGCUCUGCCGACGAUGGUUCAAUCAAAUUUCUGCCCUAUCAACUUUCGAAGGUAGCGUAGAGGGCUACCUUGGUUUCGACGGGUAACGGGGAAUUAGGGUUCUAUUCCGGAGAGGGAGCCUGAGAAACGGCUACCACUUCUAAGGAAGGCAGCAGG